UGGGGCUUCACCGCAGAGAGAGGCAAGCUUGGGCUCAUCCUGGGUCCUGCCCCUCAAAACCCUCCUCUACGGGGACCGCAUGCCUCACCUCCUCAAGCCCAGGCCAGCCCAGGAGAGGCUCCAGUGUCUACCCUGUAUGUAACCGCCCUUGCAGAAAUGAAGAAUCUCUAGAGAGACACGGAUGCGCCUUCCUAUGGCAACCAGACUGUUGAGCCGCUGGACCCCAAGCAAUUGGAAUUCCCAUGAAGAUUUCACACCGCUCUGACAAUUCAUCAGACCACUUUUCAGGAGAGACUGGAGACAGACAAUGGUUGAUCUGUAGUGGACCGGACCACACUUUGACCGGGACUUCUCCUGCCCUCCCUGUAAGCCUAAACCUCAGGCCAGAACCCCAGAGAUGCAUGAGGGAUUCCCAGACCCACUUAACUUGCUUCUCUUCGGGUGUGGUCACACUGAAUAAAACUCCUUUCUCUGCU